rnacentral:rRNA from 1 species
GAUGAACGCAGGCGGAAUGCCAAAAAAAUACAAAUAGAGCGAACAAAAGAGAAACAUGCUUCAAACAAGAAAAAGAAAGAAAAGUACGUAAAACAUAGAUACAAAACCUAUAAACAUGGACUAACAUCGGGAAACCGUAGCUAAUACCGGAUAAUAUUUUGAACCGCAUGGUUCAAUAGUGAAAGACGGUUUUGCUGUCACUUAUAGAUGGAUCCGCGCUGCAUUAGCUAGUUGGUAAGGUAACGGCUUACCAAGGCAACGAUGCGUAGCCGACCUGAGAGUUGUGUGUGCCACACUGGAACUGAGACACGGUCCAGACUCCUACGGGAGGCAGCAGUAGGGAAUCUUCCGCAAUGGGCGAAAGCCUGACGGAGCAACGCCGCGUGAGUGAUGAAGGUCUUCGGAUCGUAAAACUCUGUUAUUAGGGAAUAACAAAUGUGUAAGUAACUAUGCACGUCUUGACGGUACCUAAUCAGAAAGCCACGGCUAACUACGUG